ACGGUACACUUAAAAAAAUCCAAUGAUUUUUUGUAUAAGUCGUGACACAUACUUCUGCGGGAGAGUUCAUUUUGUCCCCUAUUAGGAUUCCACUUCCCUGUAAUAUUCACCACACAUAAUUGCGAUAAGCUACACCAGUGGAAUUUAUAUAUAAGAUCUAAUAGUUAAAAUCCAUAACAGCUCACACAUAAACCUAAUAUGGGAUGAAACUGAAAUGAAUUGCAGUUCGAAAUGAACUUUGUUUUGAUACUGAAUCAGUCACAUGGAUUUUUUCAAGACGCUGAAGCUAAGCGGAAAAUGAUGUGAUCCAACCGCAUCCUUGAAUCGAUUAGAAUCAGUUCCAAUGUGAAAGCCGCAGUGACUGUGAGCAGGAACUUUUCGGAGGUUGCUUCACCAGGAAUGUUGCAGAAAUGGAGCUGUUCCCGAAUGCAUGAAAACAAAAAACUACGCAAAACUGUGUGACGAUUGAUGUCUGGGUUCUUUCCGUUCAAUAUGAAUUAUAAUUUUGAGGAGCGGACCUAGUGUGGAUCAACAGAAUGAUAUCAUUGCAAAGUUUAAUACGUGUACUAACCAAAGAUUAUGGAAUAAAAAAGCCUUUAUGAAUGAUUCUUAAAUGUUUUAACAAUUUCAAUAAAAACGAUAAAAGCUAUUUUAUGAA